CACAGAGGUAAUAGCACAUUACAUAUCUGCCACUAAAGGUCUGACAGUAACUGAAUACUCAUGGAAAUAAGUAGAUAAUUUUAACACAAAUCUGUAAAAACUUUGGAAAAGUGGCAGUCAGAAUACUAAGGAGGCUGGAAAUUUUGAGAAAGGCAAGUUGAGCUGAGCUUAGACACAGGAGAUGUCAUCAACUGCUGUGAGGAAAGACAGUUUUCUAAAUUCAGACCUUGAAGAAGAAAAUCUCUUUGCUUCACCUUAGUAAGAAUUUCAUUUGUAAAUGUUCUUGUCAAUUGAAGCAGACAGAAGAGGACAAUGACAGAAUGCUUUAGCAAAGGAAUUUGGCAGAAGGAAAUGAGGCAGAGACAGUGGCUGGAGAAGCAGGGAUUCACCAUCUGUGUGGACGGGACUCCCUUCAAGAUCAUAAAUCUCUCACCAUUUCAUCAUUGGAGAAGGCCAUCUACCCUGUGUAUUCAACUCAACCUUCCCAGUUGCAAAGAUGAAAUAAGUUGUAAAAUGAAUGGGAAUGUCUUCAAAUGCAUCUGAAUUAAAUUGAGCCAAAGAAAUGAUAUAUUAGGGAAAGAAAGGUAGAGAGGAGAGGGAGAGAGAGAGAGAGAGAGAGAGAGAGAGAGAGAGAGAGAGAGAGAGAGAGAGAGAGAGAGAGAGAGAGAAAUAUCAACUUUAGCUUAUUACAAAAUUACUUCUUCACAUUGCAGUCCAUACCUCUCUGAGGUAGUGUGUGAAGAAUUUGAGGCAGAGAAAGAAGCCUGCCCAUAGGACACCAAGUGAGAGGCAGAGUGGUAGGUACCCCCUUAAGAACACAAGAUAGGCAGAGAAUAUUUCUGAUUUUGGAGAGAAGAACCCCACCUACACCCCGAAAUCUAAGGGAUAUUUCUCUGGCUUACUUUGUAAAAGAAAGCACAUGUGACCACAGUGAGUUUUCUUUAGGCUCAUAGAAGCUUUGACAAUUUUCUAAUAGUCUUGUUAAAAACACUGUUGAGAAUGUACGUUUCUGUAAAGAGCAAUUUUAAGAGCUAUACAGUGAAACUUGGUAUUCAUUCUAUUAAAAUGAAUCUUGUCUUAUUGAAGCCA